rnacentral:rRNA from 1 species
AGUGAACGCUGGCGGUAGGCCUAACACAUGCAAGUCGAACGGCAGCACAGUAAGAGCUUGCUCUUACGGGUGGCGAGUGGCGGACGGGGGAGGAAUACAUCGGAGUCUACUUUUUCGUGGGGGAUAACGUAGGGAAACUUACGCUAAUACCGCAUACGACCUACGGGUGAAAGCAGGGGAUCUUCGGACCUUGCGCGAUUGAAUGAGCCGAUGUCGGAUUAGCUAGUUGGCGGGGUAAAGGCCCACCAAGGCGACGAUCCGGAGCUGGUCUGAUAGGAUGAUCAGCCACACUGGAACUGGGACACGGUCCAGACUCCUACGGGAGGCAGCAGUGGGGAAUAUUGGAAAAUGGGCGCAAGCCUGAUCCAGCCAUACCGCGUGGGUGAAGAAGGCCCUCGGGUUGUAAAGCCCUUUUGUUGGGAAAGAAAAGCAGCAGGUUAAUACCCCGCUGUUCUGACGGUAACCAAAGAAUAAGCACCGGCUAACUUCGUG